ACUAAUUAGACAAGGUUCCCGUUUGUGUAUAUAUAUGGCCGCUCCGUCAGGUACGGCAGUUCGAGUCCCUUAGUUCACUGCUUUCUGGUGCGUAACGCUAUUAAUGCUGAAAAGGUAUUCGUGGUUCUACCAACGCGUCCUGUGGUGUGUGUAUGUGCUUCACUGAAGGUCGGUGCCCGAGACCCCGAGUAGGCACCAGUUUCGCUCACGUUAACCGGAAGGCACGUAGAGACACCUACAGCUGACCAGAGGAGGAGCAGAAAGAGAGGUAGUGCUGAAGCUUUAGAGAGCAGGGUGCAAACCGUCAUUGAACAUCAGCAAGCUUCAAAGAGGGAGUUCAUGCAGUGGAUGGAGGAACAGGAGGCGGCGAGUGAGAAGAGGAGAGAACGCGACAGGAAGAAAGGGCGCAUGAGAUGCAGCUCUUCGGCUGAUGUUGAUGGGGCAGCCGAUUGCAUAAUCCCAGAAUGGUAGUAAUACAUAUACAGCUUUAUAAAUCCUGUUGAGUUCCUCUUUGUUGUAUCACCAAUCAGUUCCUAAUAUUUCAUUGUAUCAGUCAGAUCAGUUUGUGCAACUCACUUAAGUGUACUCUCUUUGAAUAAUUUGUCUACAACAUUUGAGUGUUAUAGUUUUUUUAGUUGUGAACUGCAUUGCCACUGAUGCAUGUUCCCCCAUUAAAAUUUAAUUGAAUGUGACCUUUGACCAUGUUGUUCAGUUGGUAUUUUCUUAUUACACACUUGAUUAUACUUAAUGUACUAAGAUUGUUGUUAUGGAGUAGUUCUCAAUAUGCAGGUGUCUUUUUGAAUGACUAUUGUAGAGAAGAGA